UACGUAGGCAGCAAGCGUUGUUCGGAGUUACUGGGCGUAAAGAGUGUGUAGGCGGUUCUCUAAGUCUGGUGUGAAAUCUCCCGGCUCAACUGGGAGGGUGCAUUGGGAACUGGAGGGCUCGAGUAUGGGAGAGGAAAGCGGAAUUCCUGGUGUAGCGGUGAAAUGCGUAGAUAUCAGGAGGAACACCUGUGGUGUAGACGGCUUUCUGGACCAUCACUGACGCUGAGACACGAAAGCGUGGGGAGCAAACAGG
rnacentral:rRNA from 1 species